rnacentral:rRNA from 1 species
AUGUUCAUUACCCUUGGAGUGCGCCCCAGAUCGGAGAUCGCCAGAGGAGGAAGACGGCGGCUAGUGUUCCUCCACGUCGCUUCUCCUUCCUCAAGCCAAGAUGGAGAGAAAUCUGCUGCUAGCGACGCAGAAUCUGAAGUUCCGAAGGCCAUGCCAGACUUCUGUCCUUCCAACUCCGUGACUGGGAAGGGGUGGCUUGGGUUACAAGAUCAUGCCGCAACUGAACUGCAUGACCAAGAUAUGCCUAUCAUAACAGGAGCAACUAUUCUAUCAAGCUCAAUGAAUGUAGCACCACGCAAAAGUGAUCGAAGCAGGCCAAUGAACGCAAGAGCAAAGCUAGGUUAUGAGAAUGUCAGCAAGCCAAGAUCAAAGUUUUGUUCUUUUUGCAGAGGUAAGGGCCAUACAACAUUCUGA